rnacentral:tRNA from 1 species
GAGGGUAUAGCUCAAUGGUAGAGUGUGUGCUUAGCAUGCACGAGGUCCUGGGUUCAAUCCCCAGUACCUUCA